rnacentral:rRNA from 1 species
GGGUAGUUUGACUGGGGCGGUCUCCUCCCAAAGAGUAACGGAGGAGCACGAAGGUUAGCUAAUCCUGGUCGGACAUCAGGAGGUUAGUGCAAAGGCAUAAGCUAGCUUGACUGCGAGAGUGACGGCUCGAGCAGGUGCGAAAGCAGGUCUUAGUGAUCCGGUGGUUCUGAAUGGAAGGGCCAUCGCUCAACGGAUAAAAGGUACUCCGGGGAUAACAGGCUGAUACCGCCCAAGAGUUCAUAUCGACGGCGGUGUUUGGCACCUCGAUGUCGGCUCAUCACAUCCUGGGGCUGAAGUAGGUCCCAAGGGUAUGGCUGUUCGCCAUUUAAAGUGGUACGCGAGCUGGGUUUAGAACGUCGUGAGACAGUUCGGUCCCUAUCUGCCGUGGGCGCUGGAGAAUUGAGGGGGGCUGCUCCUAGUACGAGAGGACCGGAGUGGACGCAUCACUGGUGUUCGGGUUGUCAUGCCAAUGGCACUGCCCGGUAGCUAAAUGCGGAAGAGAUAAGUGCUGAAAGCAUCUAAGCACGAAACUUGCCCC